GAGGGGAGUCAAGUCGAAUCGAAUCGAGUUGGAGACCACCCAGGUAACGAUUUGUGCAGUCAUUCCACGAAUUCCCAGCUGAGGGGGCGUCGCGUCGAUUCUUCGUGGCUUUUGCGGCCAAUUCUGCAGACGGCGGUGCGGGGGGCAUUUCGGAUUCCACCAGGCUCAGUAUGCUAAGGAUGGCAACGGACCAUUGUCAAAGUCCAAAAUAUAAAUGCGUUUUCAGAGGAUGGUAUAUAUAGUCGGACAGCUGCGGUGCUCCCCUCGACAGAGUUCCAUAUUCUCUUGGCCAGCACUGUACAUAUGUAAGUUGGUGGAGCAGGGCAAUAAGGUUCGGCGCACAACGCCCACGCAGUCGCAGUGUCGUCAUGGUCGCCGCAAUCGCAGUUUGGGCAGCGGGUGAAAUUAAUUUGACAGCCAACGCAAAACGCAUGCGUCGUCGGCAUUCCUCGCCAGCACUCUACCCCCUUACCGCUUAUCCACUACCCUGCCAGCCCGUUGCACCCUCCAGCUCCCCGGAUAUAUCCACGAACUCCGGGGAUUCGACGACGAAGACAGCAGACCCAGUGACGUUGCGGGCUUAUCGCCUUACUCUUAUAUCUAUCUUAAGCUUGUUGUUGGCCCGCCUCCUUCCCGCUCAUUGUCGUUAUCGUCUUGCAACCACAUUAACACAUCCGACUUCAAAAAGGGUUAUGCGAUGUGCUUAACUGAUGUCAGCGGGGAGAGGAGAUGGGACUUCGGUCGAAUUAAUGGAUUGGGGACUUGCAGCCGGCCUCUCAAAGUGAUCGGAAUCGAAUAUUCUCAUCGAAGUAAUGUCAGAUUGUUCAUCUUAAUUUGGAUUCUCAAAAUGAUCUCCUUAAUAGGGAUCAGAAACGAAAAUAUACUGCCAAUCAAUCAUAGUUUGGAGCCUACAAAAAAUGAGUUGCGAUAGAAUAUUUCUGAAAUAUCCCCUUGGAUAUGAAUGAAUUCCCACUUUAUAACGCCUUUCAAAUUUUGCUGGGCCACCCGCAAUGCACUUUCAAGUCCAACUGAAACAAACCUCUGGUUGAAAUGUCGCCACACGUGGGUUCGCCCAUUGAUAACUGAAAACCCAUCUAUCUGUGCCCCGCAGAAAAGAAGCCAAAUCCAUCGAAAACAAAUCCGAAGUCGAAAUAGUCCCAGCCCGAAGUUGAGUAGGAUGAAACUGGGGUUGUACACGCUGAAAGUUUUGGGUGCGUUUAGGAAAUUAGCUGGCUAAAUUCAAUUUAGAAUUCCAAUGCCAAAUGUAUUUAAGAGCAAUACAAUCACAGUGUAGUUGAAAUAUGAGAACAUGUUCUUCUUUAUUGUUAGAGACUUUUUUCGAUAUACUAACACAAUUUUGACUUAAUGACUUAAAUAAAUAAUUAGAUUGCAAUAAAACAUUAACGUAACAAUAAA